CUCAGCAGGACAGCUGAACAGGCCCAGCCCUCUGCUGGGAGAUUCAUCUCUGUCAGCUUAGAUAAACCUGCUGGCCAUCACAGCAUUGGCACACACACACACCCUAUUCCUGGACAGGCAUGAUGAAGCUGUCCUAGCUUGCCUCCACUUGAAAAAGACAGGAGCCGUAAAUGAACACGAGGUUUCAUUACAGCUCCCCUUUUAAACACUUUGGAGGUGCAUCUGUGUGUGUGGUUUGUUUUUAAUUUUUCCUUUUUGCAAAUCACCUUCGUGCUUUUCAGGCAUAACCGUCUGCCAUCGCUCUCAGCAUUGGUCCUCGGAGAUGUCAGCUUCGGAAACAGAUGUCCAAGUGACCUGCCUCCAUUAACCAGAGCUCCUCCAGAGUAUAACUCAGCACCGCUCCAGACCCUGCCCAGCCUCCAGACAGCAGAACCAGCCCACCAUCAUCGCCAUCCCUCUGCCCAGAUGUGACGAUUUCAAAGCAGACUCGGAUUGUAACAGCGGGGCAACAAGCCAAGACUGGGUCUAUCUCCAUGUAACUCCUGCUGGAGGUGAGCCCGACAUCACCAGCUACAAGUAUGUCGGUAAGACAGCAGUGACCAUGAAGGGUGAAGUGAAAUGGGAC